CCUGGCGGCAAUAGCAAGUGGGAACCACCCGAUCCCAUCUCGAACUCGGAAGUGAAAACGCUCAGCGCCGAUGGUAGUGUGGGAUCGCACUCCUUCGGAGUGCUCGGGGCGGCGACGC
rnacentral:rRNA from 1 species